UAAGGAAUAUUGCGCAAUGGGCGACAGCCUGACGCAGCGACGCCGCGUGGGGGAUGAAGGUCUUCGGAUUGUAAACCCCUUUCGGCAGGGAAGAUGGAACGGGUAACCGUUCGGACGGUACCUGCAGAAGCAGCCACGGCUAACUUCGUGCCAGCAGCCGCGGUAAUACGAAGGUGGCAAGCGUUGUUCGGAUUUACUGGGCGUACAGGGAGCGUAGGCGGUUGGGUAAGCCCUCCGUGAAAUCUCCGGGCCUAACCCGGAAAGUGCGGAGGGGACUGCUCGGCUAGAGGAUGGGAGAGGAGCGCGGAAUUCCCGGUGUAGCGGUGAAAUGCGUAGAGAUCGGGAGGAAGGCCGGUGGCGAAGGCGGCGCUCUGGAACAUUUCUGACGCUGAGGAGCGAAAGCUAGGGGAGCAAACAGGAUUAGAUACCCUUGUAGUCCCUGAGCGGGCUGGCAAGGCGCAU
rnacentral:rRNA from 1 species